rnacentral:tRNA from 1 species
GGCCUAGUGGCAGAAUGGUCAUGCACCAGGGGUCGCAAUCUGGGGGACGUCAGUUCGAUCCUGACCUAGGCCU